AUGCAUGUGAUGUGGCAAAACACCGGCAAUACCUUGCCGGUGAUGGUCAAUGACCGGCAGACAGGCAGCAAAAAGGUUCUGGUGCUGCACACCAACAAGAACUUCGACCAGCAGAGGACCAACUGGGUGAUGCACCAGUACCACCUCGGGGACCUAGAGCAAGAGAAGGAGCGGGAGCUGGUCGAGCAAGUUUCAACUGGGAUGUAG
rnacentral:rRNA from 1 species